UUUCAAAUCUAAAGACAUCCUCAAAAGUGAACUAGAACAUAAUAACUCUAAUGGGUCCGUCAUGCUCGUGCAACGAUAAAUGGUGUAACAUUUUAUUAAAAUUGCAAAACGAUGCCGAGAAACGUAAAGAGAGACGUUUAGGCUGCACUUGUAUUUCACGACGACCAAGAUUCUUGAGAUUUCGCCGAAAAUUUCGUAGAAGGAAAUGCACUUGCAUUCAACUUAAUAAAUCGACAAAAUAUUCACGAAGUCCUAGAAACGAUUUGGAUGACCAACCACUUAAAGUCCAUAUUUGUUCGAAGCAUAACAACUUAGCUCGAACUGGGCGUUGUUCGCGUGGAACGGACACGUGUUUUUUCCAAUCCAGCGAUGAUGAAAUUCAGGGGUACCAUAAUACAGAAACCAAUAGCUGUUGUCCCAGAGGAACGCAGAACAAAAACGUCUGUAGAUUCACUGUUGAUGCUUAUUUUACGUAAUUAAAU